rnacentral:rRNA from 1 species
AUUGAACGCUGGCGGCAGGCCUAACACAUGCAAGUCGAGCGGAUGAAGGGAGCUUGCUUCUGGAUUCAGCGGCGGACGGGUGAGUAAUGCCUAGGAAUCUGCCUGGCAGUGGGGGAUAACGUCCGGAAACGGGCGCUAAUACCGCAUACGUCCUGAGGGAGAAAGUGGGGGAUCUUCGGACCUCACGCUAUCAGAUGAGCCUAGGUCGGAUUAGCUAGUUGGUGGGGUAAAGGCCUACCAAGGCGACGAUCCGUAACUGGUCUGAGAGGAUGAUCAGUCACACUGGAACUGGGACACGGUCCAGACUCCUACGGGAGGCAGCAGUGGGGAAUAUUGGACAAUGGGCGAAAGCCUGAUCCAGCCAUGCCGCGUGUGUGAAGAAGGUCUUCGGAUUGUAAAGCACUUUAAGUUGGGAGAAAGGGCAGUAAGUUAAUACCUUGCUGUUUUGACGUUACCAACAGAAUAAGCACCGGCUAACUUCGUG